rnacentral:rRNA from 1 species
UGGGCGUAAGCGCACGCAGGCGGUCUGUCAAGUCGGAUGUGAAAUCCCCGGGCUCAACCUGGGAACUGCAUUCGAAACUGGCAGGCUGGAGUCUUGUAGAGGGGGGUAGAAUUCCAGGUGUAGCGGUGAAAUGCGUAGAGAUCUGGAGGAAUACCGGUGGCGAAGGCGGCCCCCUGGACAAAGACUGACGCUCAGGUGCGAAAGCGUGGGGAGCAAACAGGAUUAGAUACCCUGGUAGUCCACGCUGUAAACGAUGUCGACUUGGAGGUUGUUCCCUUGAGGAGUGGCUUCCGGAGCUAACGCGUUAAGUCGACCGCCUGGGGAGUACGGCCGCAAGGUUAAAACUCAAAGGGAAAUUGACGGA